rnacentral:pre_miRNA from 1 species
AAUAGAAUUUUUGGGUCAUAUGGUACUCUAUCUUUUUCCGCAAUUGCCAGACUGUUUUCAAAGUGGCCUUACUAUUUUACAAUCUCACCAGGAAU